rnacentral:rRNA from 1 species
CAGUCGCCGCGGUAAUACGUAGGGUGCAAGCGUUAAUCGGAAUUACUGGGCGUAAAGCGUGCGCAGGCGGUUAUAUAAGACAGAUGUGAAAUCCCCGGGCUCAACCUGGGAACUGCAUUUGUGACUGUAUAGCUAGAGUACGGCAGAGGGGGAUGGAAUUCCGCGUGUAGCAGUAAAUGCGUAGAUAUGCGGAGGAACACCGAUGGCGAAGGCAAUCCCCUGGGCCUGUACUGACGCUCAUGCACGAAAGCGUGGGGAGCAAACAGGAUUAGAUACCCGUGUAGUCCCUGUCUCUUAUACA